rnacentral:rRNA from 1 species
CUUAACACAUGCAAGUCGAACGGUAACAUGAGUGCUUGCACUUGAUGACGAGUGGCGGACGGGUGAGUAAAGUAUGGGGAUCUGCCGAAUGGAAGGGGACAACAGUUGGAAACGACUGCUAAUACCGUAUAAUGUNGCGAGACCAAAGCAUGGGACUUUCGGGCCAUGCGCCAUUUGAUGAACCCAUAUGGGAUUAGCUAGUAGGUGGGGUAAGGGCUCACCUAGGCGACGAUCUCUAGCUGGUCUGAGAGGAUGACCAGCCACACUGGAACUGAGACACGGUCCAGACUCCUACGGGAGGCAGCAGUGGGGAAUAUUGCACAAUGGGGGGAACCCUGAUGCAGCCAUGCCGCGUGUAUGAAGAAGGCCUUCGGGUUGUAAAGUACUUUCGGUGAUGAGGAAGGCGGUGUAUCUAAUAGGUGCAUCGAUUGACGUUAAUCACAGAAGAAGCACCGGCUAACUCCGUGCCAGCAGCCGCGGUAAUACGGAGGGUGCGAGCGUUAAUCGGAAUGACUGGGCGUAAAGGGCAUGUAGGCGGAUAAUUAAGUUAGGUGUGAAAGCCCUGGGCUCAACCUAGGAAUUGCAUUUAAAACUGGUUAUCUGGAGUAUUGUAGAGGAAGGUAGAAUUCCACGUGUAGCGGUGAAAUGCGUAGAGAUGUGGAGGAAUACCGGUGGCGAAGGCGGCCUUCUGGACAGAUACUGACGCUGAGAUGCGAAAGCGUGGGGAGCAAACAGGAUUAGAUACCCUGGUAGUCCACGCUGUAAACGAUGUCGAUUUGGAGUUUGUUGCCUAGAGUGAUGGGCUCCGAAGCUAACGCGAUAAAUCGACCGCCUGGGGAGUACGGCCGCAAGGUUAAAACUCAAAUGAAUUGACGGGGGCCCGCACAAGCGGUGGAGCAUGUGGUUUAAUUCGAUGCAACGCGAAGAACCUUACCUGGUCUUGACAUCCACAAAUCUUGUAGAAAACGAGAGUGCCUUCGGAACUGUGAG